rnacentral:rRNA from 1 species
GACGGAGGGCGCAAGCGUUGUUCGGAAUUACUGGGCGUAAAGCGUGCGUAGACGGUCAUGUAAGUCGGGUGUGAAAAGCCCCCGGGCUCAACCUGGGAAUUGCAUUCGAGACUGCAUGGCUAGGAUGCGGAAGAGGGAAGCGGAAUUUCCGGUGUAGCGGUGAAAUGCGUAGAUAUCGGAAGGAACACCAGUGGCGAAAGCGGCUUCCUGGUCCAGCAUCGACGUUCAGGCACGAAAGCGUGGGGAGCAAACAGG